rnacentral:rRNA from 1 species
CAGGAGGGUGCAAGCGUUAAGUCGGAAUUACUGGGCGUAAAGCGCGCGUAGGCGGCUAAUUAAGUCGGGUGUGAAGGCCCCGGGCUCAACCUGGGAAUUGCAUCCGAUACUGAUUGGCUAGAGUAUGAGAGAGGGAGGUAGAAUUCCACGUGUAGCGGUGAAAUGCGUAGAUAUGUGGAGGAAUACCGGUGGCGAAGGCGGCCUCCUGGCUUAAUACUGACGCUGAGGUGCGAAAGCGUGGGGAUCAAACAGGAUUAGAUACCCUGGUAGUCCACGCCGUAAACGAUGUCAACUGGCCGUUGGGCACCUUAGUGUGCUUGGUGGCGCAGCUAACGCGAUAAGUUGACCGCCUGGGGAGUACGGUCGCAAGAUUA